AUGGACCUAUUUGGGCCUCCAUCCUUUGACAAUAUUGGGGGUAGAAAGUAUUGCUUGGUGAUUGUGGAUGAUUAUUCAAGAUACAGUUGGGUAUAUUUCUUCAAGAGGAAGAGUGAAACUCAGCAAACCGUCAUUGACUUUGCAAAUGAAGCUCAACGUCAACAUGAUGCAAAGAUCUUGACAAUAAGAAGUGACAACGGCACCGAGUCCAAGAACUACACCUUGGAUGAGUUUCUUAGUGAUGAGGGAAUCAAGCAUCAAUAUGAUGCACCCUAUACCCCUCAACAAAAUGGUGUCACAGAGAGGAAGAACUAG
rnacentral:rRNA from 1 species